UUACGGCCACAUCACGUCGAAAUACCGGUUCCCAUAUGAUCACCGAAGUUAAGUAACGUAGUACCUGGAAGUACCUAGAUGGGUGACCGCUUGGGAAUACCAGGUGCUGUAAG